UGGGGAAUAUUGCACAAUGGGCGCAAGCCUGAUGCAGCGAUGCCGCGUGUAUGAAGAAGGCCUUCGGGUUGUAAAGUACUUUCAGUCGGGAGGAAGGUGGUAAGGUUAAUAACCUUAUCAAUUGACGUUACCGACAGAAGAAGCACCGGCUAACUCCGUGCCAGCAGCCGCGGUAAUACGGAGGGUGCAAGCGUUAAUCGGAAUUACUGGGCGUAAAGCGCACGCAGGCGGUUGAUUGAGUCAGAUGUGAAAUCCCCGGGCUUAACCCGGGAAUUGCAUCUGAUACUGGUCAGCUAGAGUCUUGUAGAGGGGGGUAGAAUUCCAUGUGUAGCGGUGAAAUGCGUAGAGAUGUGGAGGAAUACCGGUGUCGAAGGCGGCCCCCUGGACAAAGACUGACGCUCAGGUGCGAAAGCGUGGGGAGCAAACAGG
rnacentral:rRNA from 1 species